AAGGUUUACUCUGUUAUUUUUCGGAUUAAUUGGAAUGGUUGGGCUGUCCUUCAGUCCUACCAUCACGGCUUUCGCCUUUCCUGAAGCAUGGAAGGAAUACCGGAGAGAACGAACGCAACAGAUUCACCCCGAUAGAAGAAUUGACUAGAAGGCAAGAUUGUGUAAUCUUCUUAGAACAUUUAUAUUUGUUAAAAAAUUAUGUACACAGAAUAAACGAUUUAACAUUG